GACGAACGCUGGCGGCGUGCUUAACACAUGCAAGUCGAACGGAAAGGCCUCUUUCGGGGGGUACUCGAGUGGCGAACGGGUGAGUAACACGUGAGUAACCUGCCCUUGACUUUGGGAUAACUUCAGGAAACUGGGGCUAAUACCGGAUAGGAGCUCCUGCUGCAUGGUGGGGGUUGGAAAGUUUCGGCGGUUGGGGAUGGACUCGCGGCUUAUCAGCUUAUUGGUGGGGUAGUGGCUUACCAAGGCUUUGACGGGUAGCCGCCCUGAGAGGGUGACCGGCCACAUUGGGACUGAGAUACGGCCCAGACUCCUACGGGAGGCAGCAGUGGGGAAUAUUGCACAAUGGGUGGAAGCCUGAUGCAGCAACGCCGUGUGCGGGAUGACGGCCUUCGGGUUGUAAACCGCUUUCGCUCAUGACGAAGCUUUGUGUGACGGUAGUGGGUAAAGAAGCACCGGCUAACUACGUG
rnacentral:rRNA from 1 species